CAGGUACCCGAUCAACGAGAGAGUGACGCACUACCGACCACACCUGAACGAUCCGAGACGACCACAGCGGUACGACCUGCCCGAAAACAACCGACCUUGCGGUUUUAAUGCCCAGUGCACAUGUUCGGACACUGGCCCCGCCUUAGGCCUUGUCUUCUGCGACAAUGUCGAGCUGGGUCGCCUGCCGGAGGAGCUGAACAACACCAAGAUCCACACACUUACUCUGCGAUCGAACAACCUCAAGUAUUUGGAUGAAUAUACACUCCACAACACAGGUGAGUACGUCUGGCUGUGUAAAUAAAGCGCGGGAGAUAAGUGGAUAGAAGUUAGAGGGAAGAAAGAUCUAAAA